UCAGGUGAUCCACCCACCUCGGCCUCCCAAAGUGCUGGGAUUACAGGCGUGAGCCACCGCGCCCGGCAACCUGAUGGGUUUCAAAUGACCCCCCGGGUGCUCCACAUCUCAAAAGUUGCUCCCAUGAAUCUGGAAUGCUAUCUGUUCCUUGGGGAUCAGGUCCCACCUGUGUCUCUGAGACACUGACUUGAGAUGAGGCCAAUGAGUUCAAGCAUAAAUUGCCUAAGUCAUCAUCAGCUUCAUGUUGUGUUCUGGAGCUUGUCCACUUAAGAGGGUUGAUUUAAAAAUGGCUCACAAGACACAUGCCUGGGAAACGGAGUUUUCUCCUUUGCUCUUAGCAGAUCUUGGGCAACCCAAUAAUUAACCUUCUUGAUUUCUCAACUUUCACAUUUGCGAAAAAGGCGCUAAUGCCCGUGACAUUUCCCUGAAGACACAGUCCUUGUCACCCCCUACAAAGCUCUGAAGUUGUGCACAGGUGGGCCAGGUGGCUGAUUUCUCUCAAAAGCAGCUGAGCUCGCGCUCUGGCUAGAGAAGGCAGAGGGCUGCGGCACAACGGACAUUGUCUCAGACAUCAGGACAGUUUCCAUUGCAGUUUAGGAAAGAAGGCAGCUCCCUGGGCUGGAAAUGACGCAACACUCUGGAAAGACCCUUGGGUGCGGGUGAGAGAGGCAACCCAGCUGCAUAGGGCCAAUGAGAGGAGGCCGAACCACCCGAUUUGGACAAAGGAGUUCCUACCAUAUUUUAUUUGCAAGCCAUUUCUCCCACAUUAUUCUGGAAGGCUGAAGCCUGUCGAUGCAUCCAAAAAUAGAUCUGUCCUGGAUCUUUUCUCACAAGUCAGCCAGCUGUCAAGACACCUGAGAUGUGAUUCUUUCACAUGGCAGAGCCUCUCGUCAAAACAUGAACUGAGCUUCCUCUUAUCUUAUGGACAGCUGAUGCGUGGAGGUGGAUUUAUGAAUUGGCCUCAUGCUGCACUCAAGCAGUUUGGCCAGGACUCAAUGCUCAUUGCCAAGAUGAAAAUCAGCAAACUAGCAGUUUGCUUUUAUGAUGUUCUCCAGCCUGCAACCAAGACACUUAUCCUGGCCACUUCUUCAGCUCUGACAUAAGGUUGUGCUGAUAUAAAUGCAAACCCAGCUCUAUGUCUACCAAACACCUAUAUGGCUAGGACUGCAAAUGGAGCAUUUAAGCACCAGGCAAGAGGUCUUCCCAGUUUCCAACCAGACUUUGUAGAAUUUCCCCAAAAUACUGACUUAGCCUCUUUCAGACCCUAUCUCCCAAAGAGAAUCAGAGAGGGGCUCUGGAAGCCAUUUAGACUGUCUGGCCUCUUCCCUAGUGAAAAUGGACUUGGAUACAAAAAGGCAACCUACUGACCUCAAAGAUACCAGCCCAGAUACUGAGCAUGGACCUCCUGCCUCCCCAGGACAGACGUCAUCUAAGCCAGAUCAAAGCCCACACUGUUCCUCCAUGUGCACCUUUCAGACAUGUUCCUGAACAGCCCUCUAGAAUUGUCUGGAGAUGGGACAAGAGGUGAUGGAGCUCCAGGUUCAGAAUGGCUGCCUCAUCCCUCCCUCCUGAAAAGUCUAUACCUGCUGAUUAGAGCUCUCACACCUUAAGGGGCUUAGCCCUCCCCAAGCAGACACGUGGCGGGGUGCAGUGGCUCACGC
rnacentral:lncRNA from 1 species